rnacentral:rRNA from 1 species
GAUGAACGCUGGCGGCGCGCUUAACACAUGUAAGUCGAACGAAGCGCUUUUACAGAUUUCUUCGGAAUGAAGUUUUAGUGACUGAGUGGCGGACGGGUGAGUAACGCGUGGGUAACCUGCCUCACACAGGGGGAUAACAGUUGGAAACGGCUGCUAAUACCGCAUAAGCGCACAGUACCGCAUGGUACGGUGUGAAAAACUCCGGUGGUGUGAGAUGGACCCGCGUCUGAUUAGCUAGUUGGCAGGGCAACGGCCUACCAAGGCGACGAUCAGUAGCCGACCUGAGAGGGUGACCGGCCACAUUGGGACUGAGACACGGCCCAAACUCCUACGGGAGGCAGCAGUGGGGAAUAUGGCACAAUGGGGGAAACCCUGAUGCAGCGACGCCGCGUGAGCGAAGAAGUAUUUCGGUAUGUAAAGCUCUAUCAGCAGGGAAGAAGAAAUGACGGUACCUGACUAAGAAGCACCGGCUAAAUACGUGCCAGCAGCCGCCGUAACAC